rnacentral:rRNA from 1 species
UACGAAGGGGGCUAGCGUUGCUCGGAAUCACUGGGCGUAAAGGGCGCGUAGGCGGCCAUUCAAGUCGGGGGUGAAAGCCCAGGGCUCAACCCGGGAACUGCGUCGGAUACUGGCAGGCUUGAAUCCGGGAGAGGGAUGUGGAAUUCCAGGUGUAGCGGUGAAAUGCGUAGAUAUCUGGAGGAAUACCGGUGGCGAAGGCGGCCUUCUGGACCAUAACUGACGCUGAUCCGCGAAAGCUAGGGGAGCAAACGGG